rnacentral:lncRNA from 1 species
UCGGUCUUCUGCUCCUCACCCUUUUCCCUUUCAAACGCCUGGAAUUAUGGACGCCGGGCAGCGACAAUGAGGGGCACCCCCGGGGGCAGCAGGGCAGGAAGACGCAGGCACCCAGGCACCGGGACACCGUUUGGAGGCCAGCCAAUGGCCCAGGGGCAUCUACCUGCAGACAUCUGUGUGGGAAACACGCGAAUAAACGAACAUACGAGAACUCGGAUUUGCACCCCGACCCGAAAGCUGUCACCCGCUCGGCAGCACCCGCCCCCUGCCCUCCCCCGUCACACAGUAAGGAUGGCAGCCAUGCGGAGCGAGAUCACAUGAAAGCGCCCCGCCCCAUUUGGCAUUCCAGACGGACGGCAAACAGUAGGGACAGUCACGUCCCUGCACGGCAAGCUUUCUCGGCCUCAGCACUGCGACCUGGGGGCCGCUGGGGCUGCCCCGUGCACUGCGGGACCCUGAGUGGCCUCCCUGGCCACCACCAUGAGACGAGAUGCUGGUGGCAGCCCCCCCCCCCAUUGUGACAACCAAACAGGUCCCUGGACAGGUGUCCUGGGGAAGACAUGCUGUGGGAACCUGCGGUCGCCUCUGUGACACGGUGCCCACAUGGCAUUUGACACAGGAGGACCAGGCCCUACCGAGUGCGUCCCGCAUCCCUCGCUGCCGGGUUCUCCAGACUGUACGAGGCUUGGGCCCAGAAGACUUGAAUCUGCCAGCAGGGCCGGGAACAUAUCUUCAUACCUUCCGACCAGCCCGAGGUCAUGGGGUAGGGCGGCGGGCCAGCGGCAGGGCUGGUGUGCGGGAGGCUCAGAGCCACGGCGGACCCAGCAGGACCACCGCGGCUCCGAGUGUGGGUCCCGGCUCGGGGGCCUCUGCAAGCAGCUCAGUCAUUAGGAUCACGGAGCUCACAUCUGGGAAAUUGAGCCCCCCACCCAGCCUCUGUCCUUGAGCCAAAAUAACACGCUCUAAGCUCUGAUACAGUUGAAAGUGAAACCACAUGGUUUUAAAGGUUUUAAAGCUCAUUUGAAGAGGGCAAAGGGUCAGGAGAGAAGGAGCUGCGUUUAGGAGGGAUGGCACCUUCCACACGAAGAGUCCCCCUAGAAAGGCGGGUGUGCGGGCUGUCCACGUUCCUGUCCACGGUGGCGAGGAGGAUGUGGCCUCCUGAGCCAGUCCCCCGGGAGCCUGGGGGUUUCAGAGACAAGGAGGGGGCUUGGGGAGAGCAGGGAGGGGGCAGGGACGGCUGGGGACAACCCUGAGCUGCAGGCCGGCUGAUGCGGCGCCGGCCGGGACAGCAGGAGCGGGUCCUCCAGAUGGUCCUCAGGCACCGAGGAGACCACUAAAACCGAGAGCGCUCGCUUCUUGUCCGAAGUCCCCACGCAGUCUGGGUGGUGAAGCGCCGAUGGGAAAUCUGCUUCUUCACGGGCACCUCAGCGUCACCGUCGUCAGAUGGACCCAUGCGUGGUGCUCAGGUCGGUCACCGGAGCCCGUCACCCACUGCGGUUUCCAGAACGCCAUUUGGAGAUUGUCCAGUUCCCACUGUUUUCACGGCUCAAGCGGCCACCGAUGGGGCCCUUCCGCCAUCCUCUGUGACAACAGCACUAGCAGCGACGGGCCCGUCCGUCCUGGGCUUCACGGCUUGCGAAGGUCUUUCUUCAGAGUCAGUGCUCGCCCCAUGAGGGGGUCUCAGUCGGAAAACAGAACUGAAAAAUAUGUAACAUAAGGGCCUUGUCCAGAGUCAGGUUGGGUAGGAAGAGGCAGACAGGACCAGCGUCCUCGGCAUCUUCCGGCAGCGCUGGGACUCCGCUGGGACGUUCUUGCGCUGUGUCCUUUCGAUCUCCCUGCCGUAAUAUCGGGGAAGGGGUAGCCUGCAUCCCGGAGGUGACACGUGUCCUGUCUACCUCGCAGAGAAGCUGUAGGGUGAGACGAAAUGUCCAUUUCGAGGGUGUCCAAGGAGACCCAGGUCUGGGCAUGUGCAGCCCCUUGCCCGUGGGACCUGAAUGACCGGCUGGGCGCAGACCUAUGAUCAGGGGAGCCGUGUCCAUCAUCCCGAGAGGUCCCCAGCCUUCCUGCAGCUGCCGGUCUGCAGCCUCCCGCGUGCGCGGCCUGGGCACACCUGCUUGCUGGUGACGACUCUAAAUGAAAAGAUUUCAGGUCCCUUAUUGUGAAACCGUUGGGGGCAGGCACAUGCAGAAUCCAGAGUCGGUGCCUACGCCACACACCGUGGAGGUGGACGCAGCGGGGUUGGGCGAACAGUGACAUGCUAUGAUCACAGGUGACAAAUGCACACGCACGUUUGGGGAAGAUCCUGUCACCAAUUGAGGGUUUUUAAAAUUUACAUGUUCAGCUUUCCAGACGUUGGGGUUGCUGAGAUGCUUUCACAGGUGUGCUGUCGGCGACUCUGGGCCACCUAGGCAGAGCCGUGGCCUGUGUCCCGCAGCUGACACCCCCCUUCUCCGUCUCUAUCACUUUUCCACCAGGCCCGAGAGGUGUAGACGUGUUUCUCUCCCUCUGCGUCUCAAGGGCAAAGCCCAAGCUGUCCGGGGUGCAGGAGCCGAGACAGGUCCCACACCGGGUCGCCCAGCAGCCGGAGGAGCGCGGCCGGAGCUGCAUCUCCUGCUCUGGGGCAUUUUCUUUUAAGAGAGGAAAGAACCUGGGGGGUCUGGCUGAGGACAGUCCAUCACGGCCGGCUCUGGAGGAGGCAGGGCCCCCUCCACGUCCACUGAGAACCGUCUUGCCUUUGGCACUCACUUUUCCCAAAAGUGAAAAUCCCUUUCGUCUGUGGGAAAAACCUCACAAAAAAGGAAAAGCCCAACCGAAAGGCACGUUGGUUUCUAUUUAUAAUCCGAGGGAAGGAAUUUCACACAGAUUCAACUCAUGUAUGAAAAAACAGCCUGUUCCUCGGGGUCGGAUGUGUUUCCCGUUUCCUACGCGCGCUGAUGCCUUAGUCACCACUCAGAGCUUGGGGACGGCUUCAUCGAAAGAUGAUUUACUGAUCGGGGACGGAGGGGGAAGCUCGGCGGCGGUGCACGCGCUCUCCACUCACCUGCCCUGCCCGUCCCCCGGGGACGCCUGGGGCACCUCCGGGGGGCUCCUCACCUCGGGCUGGGGCUGGCAGGUGAGAGCCCCGCGUGUUUUCAUGUCUUCCCCAUGAACAGGAGGAGAGGACGGGCAUGAGCGAGAAGACGAGGUCCGAUUUCCAGGACGGCGGAGCUGGGGACGGAACCACCCUUUCUGCCUCGCCUCCCCCGCUGCUGGCAAGUUCUAUGGAAAACAAAGAUGCCUUUGAAGGCAUCUCAUUCCGUGGUAAAAACCCCAAUCUCGAGGCUGGAGGAAUUUGGGGGAGAUUUGAAACUCUUGACCCCUUGACGGGUGUGUCCGUCUAACGAGCGGCCACGAGGAGGUCAGCUCCGGCCCCCACGCAGGCCGCUCGGAUCCCAGGAUGGUGCGCGCGGACCGACACGGCUCGCUGCUGGUAGCCGCCUAAAGUCUCCGAGGACCUCCUGGCACAGGGUCACCAUCCGCGAAAAAGACGACCCCAAAACAGCAGGGCUGGGCGCACGUUGUCGUGAGGUAGACAGGUGAGCGUUUGCAGAGCCUACACGGGAAAGGGCUUUCGUACAUGGAUUUUCUCCCUCGGUCCCCGGCAUGGGCUGAGCUGUUUCCCUCUCCCAGUCCGAGGCCUGUGAAUCUGAACUGAUUUGGAAACAGGGUCUUUGCAGAUGAUCGUGCUAAGAUGAGGCUCUCGGGGUGGGCCCGAAUCCAGUAUGAGAGGUGUCCACAUAGAAGGGGGACCUGGGACCUGGAGACUGGGACACAGAGAGAAAGCCAGUGUGGAGCCCCAGGCUGGACAGCACCGGCCAGCCGGGCCACAGCAGGGGCCACCAGAGCCAGGAGGCGGGCACAGACGGGUUCUCACUCACUACCUUCAAAAAGCUGACCCCACGCAGGGCCGGAUGUCAGAUCUGUGGUCUGCGGAACUGCGAGGGGGUACGGCCGUAUGGCGGAAGCCGCCCCGUUUGUGGAAUGCUGUCCCAGCAGCCCCCGAGCCCUGGUAACGCGCCCC